rnacentral:lncRNA from 1 species
UGAAUUCCAGUCCCCCCCACCAAGUUUUCUUCAAGCGUGAGAAUAUGUAGGAGUCCAUAGUGGUUCCCCAUUUGAAUAGUUUGCAACUGUAAAUUUGACAUAAUGACUGAGUGAAGAAUUGAUGAUUGUCUACUUCUUCUCCUCUUUUAAGCUGUUGGAAUUAAAUGUUGGUCCUAUACAUAUACAUAUACAUAUAAAUGAAUGAAGUGAGCCAAUUAAUUGGGGCAUUCAAAAAGGCAAGCUGUAACUGGAAGAGGUAAUGAUGAGUUAAAUCCAAAUUCCUUGAGAAAAAGAAAAAUAAUCCGGUACAGCUGAGGAAGCCAGCAAGGGGUGACCCGCAAAUGAAGAUUGGUCGAGUGAAGAGUAGCUGAUGAGCAGUGGAGAGCCACGCACCAGAUUAGCUAGGCAUAUGGUGGGUGGGAAGUUGGAUUUCAGUCAGGGAGAAGUGGAAGCAUUUGGUUCACAGAAUAUGCAGCACCUGUCAUAACAUCAUCAACAACUGGGCAUAUGAUAUGUAUUGAUCUGAGGCCUUUUUCUGCAUUGACUCUGUAGAUAUAUGGUCCCAGAAAAUACCGGUUUGCACAUGGCCAUGGUGGAUCCAAUCCAUAAAAGUCACUUAUAUUUAUGGGUUCAAGAAGGUAGCAUCUAUAUGUCAC